ACACAGAAGGAGUUUUUGUUUUGCCUUUGACAAGGGUCUCACUACACAGAUCUGCCUCAACUUCACACAGGUCCGACUGCUUCUACCUCCCCGAAAGGAUGGGCCAUCUGCGCCGGGCAGCCCCAUCUCAUCGUAUGGUUAACCGUUCGUGACAUGGGAAUGCAGACCACUGUGAGCCUCCAGCACCCACCAAUGAAAUUGUAGAUUACCUAAUCCCUCUAAAGACUUGCCCCAUUCUCCUUAAGAAGGCCUGUGUGCCUUUGUCUGGGGUCACCAUUCCAAAGAAUGGUUGCCUCUGCAGAAUAAAAGCUCUUUGUCUUUGCAUACUGA